AGUCAUCUCACUGGUCCUCUACCUAAGGCAACAGUUGAUUCCUACUCCACACUUCACUGCAACAAAGUGAACAAACUAACUAGGAUGCAGUUUGUAGGACUUCAAUGCAAACCAAAAAACCACUCAUUUUUCAUUUUUCACGGAUCAGCCAAGCCUUUAGUUGAACGGGAUGCUUCGGUCUUGAUCCUUGAAGUUGCCUAGUAAACCAAAAUCGGAAAAUCCUAUAGAAAAAAAAAAUGUCAUGGGAAAUUAAAAUUUUUCUACUGUUCCUUUCCUUUCCUUCUUAUCCAUUCUAACAGUCUAAUUUAGCGUUAUUCCAUAAAAUGGUUUUCCAAAUUUUUAAAAGUACUUCUGCUGGCGGAUUUUAAUUCCAUUUCAUUAAUUAAAACUUAAAACGAUUCUCUAAAGAUAACGUAAAGAAAUAAAAACCCAAUUGUUAAUGAAGUCCAGACCAUGUUUGACCAAAUUUAUAAUAAAAUGGUAAUACGUUGGCUGUGUGAUACAAAUUAACAUACGAUCAAUAUUCUCCAUUCAUACGAUUCGCGCACAAUCACACUGACAAAGAAAAUUUAUGACACAAUAGUAUGAUGAUUAUCAACAAAAUGUGAAAUAAGCGGGUUCCUUUUUUUUUCUUUUAUGUCUUUUUUUGAAUUCAUUUCCCAAUCAAUCUUCCAUUCGAGAGGAGUCGGCCACGGCUUCGGGAACCACUUGAUCGACGACAGAGAGUUCGGGCCUCACGAAACCCACGCCAGUUACUUCCGGUUUGCUUUUCACUUGAUCCACUUUGGCCGUGCGCAAAACUGCCGAGAACCAAGGGUGGAGCAGAAUGUCGCCGGCCUCCAGUCGCUGGCAAGGAUCGCGACGGAGCAGGUGGCGGAUGAGACACCUGGCC